rnacentral:rRNA from 1 species
GAUGAACGCGUAGCUACAGGCUUAACGACAUGCAAGUCGAGGGGCGAGCGAUGGUCUUAGCUUGCUAAGGCCGAUGGCGACCGGCGCACGGGUGAGUAACACGUAUCCAACCUUCCGCUGACUCGGGGAUAGCCUUUCGAAAGAAAGAUUAAUACCCGAUAGCAAAGGAUUUCCGCAUGGAUAUUCUUUUAAAGGAUUCCGGUCAGCGAUGGGGAUGCGUUCCAUUAGAUAGUUGGCGGGGUAACGGCCCACCAAGUCGACGAUGGAUAGGGGUUCUGAGAGGAAGGUCCCCCACAUUGGAACUGAGACACGGUCCAA